rnacentral:lncRNA from 1 species
CUGCCUCCUGUGGUCACAGAGAAGUGGCUCAAAACAUUGAAUGAAGGCCAGAUCUUGCCAAGGAAAGCUAACAAUGACCUGUUUUAAUAAAUAAGACCCAUUUAUAAUAACUAUUAGAACAGGCUAAGAAUGGCUUCCAUGAACUUAUAUGCUCUUCUAUACUCCCUUUUAUUACUGAAGUGGUAUAGAAGGUAUAUCUCAACCCACUCCAUGUCUCCAAGAUCUCAAACUCUGUGUUGCUACAGUAGUAAAUAUGCCUUUUAUGCUUAGUACUUUCUUCUCAUCCCUCUACUCCCUCUUACCCUCACUCACUACAGCACUUGGGCUGCAUGGUGCCCCAAACAAACUAGAUGUUUUUUAUGUACUGUCAACUAAAUUUCAGUUCUGUUUUGGAGAGAGUAUAUUACAAAAGCAAAAAUAUAUAUAACAUAUUUUAGCAAAUGUACUACUGUGGUGCUGAAUGUCAAUAGUGGGGAAAGGUGUGCAUGUUGUGGACAGGGAGUAUAUGGGAACUCUUCGCACAUUCCACUCAAUUUUGCUGUAAACCUAAAUGCUCUAAAAAUAGACUUUAUUAAUUUACAUAUGCAUAAAUUAUAUAUUUAUAAUUAUAUAAUAGAUAUAAAUUAUACAUAAUAUGUAAAGUAUUGUUUAUAUAUAAUUA